rnacentral:rRNA from 1 species
UACGUAGGGUGCGAGCGUUGUCCGGAAUUAUUGGGCGUAAAGAGCUUGUAGGCGGUUUGUCGCGUCUGCCGUGAAAAUCCGAGGCUCAACCUCGGACUUGCGGUGGGUACGGGCAGACUAGAGUGUGGUAGGGGAGACUGGAAUUCCUGGUGUAGCGGUGGAAUGCGCAGAUAUCAGGAAGAACACCGAUGGCGAAGGCAGUUCUCUGGGCCGUAACUGACGCUGAGGAGCGAAAGCGUGGGGAGCGAACAGG